rnacentral:rRNA from 1 species
UAGGGAAUCUUCCGCAAUGGACGAAAGUCUGACGGAGCAACGCCGCGUGAGUGAUGAAGGUUUUCGGAUCGUAAAACUCUGUUGUUAGGGAAGAACAAGUUGGGUAGUAACUGACCCAACCUUGACGGUACCUAACCAGAAAGCCACGGCUAACUACGUGCCAGCAGCCGCGGUAAUACGUAGGUGGCAAGCGUUGUCCGGAAUUAUUGGGCGUAAAGCGCUCGCAGGCGGUCUUUUAAGUCUGAUGUGAAAGCCCACGGCUUAACCGUGGAGGGUCAUUGGAAACUGGAGGACUUGAGUAAAGAAGAGGAGAGUGGAAAUCCACGUGGAGCGGUGAAAUGCGUAGAGAUGUGGAGGAACACCAGUGGCGAAGGCGACUCUCUGGUCUGUAACUGACGCUGAGGAGCGAAAGCGUAGGUAGCGAACAGG